rfam:Flavobacterium frigoris PS1 66_10, whole genome shotgun sequence.
UUCUAGCCCAGAUAGAAGUGAAAAUCCUUUUCUUGUUUUUCUUUAAAACAAGAAAAGAUUGCAACGAAUAGCUGGAAAUAGC